GGGAUCCGCCGGGAUGAAGCAGAAAAAGAAAAAUGGGAAAGGGGAGCAGAGCCAGGCCGAGCUGAUGGUGAUGGCCAUUGGAGACAUCAUAAAGCAGCUGCUGGAGGCCCACGAGCAGGGCAGGGACGUGGAUGUGAACAGAUUGAAGACCAGCACCUC